AGCAGUUGAACUUCUGCUAAAAACGCAAACGUCCUGUUUGCAACGCAGAAGUCAGUACAUCGUGUACU
rnacentral:sRNA from 1 species